UCCCCCCCUCGCUCACCUCACUCUCCCAGACGAGGCCCCCCAAGCCCCCUCACUUCGUCGCACAUGCGCACAAAGCUCACCGGGACUCCAUGCCCCGGCAGGCUUUGCGCCAAACUCCUCCGGCCUCCUCCCCCCCCAACACUCAGACACCGAGGUGUCCGUUCAGCCCCUCACCUUCCGUCCCUCACCCCCCGCCCCGCCAGCCUCACCCAGAACUACAUUUCCCAGGAAGCAUCGCGGCAAAAGACGCUUCCCAUUGGCCGCUCGCCGUGAAGAAUCUCGCACGCCCGUCUCCAAAUAGCCCUGAACUACACUUUCCAAGGUGCAUGCAGCACGGCCAGCGGCCUAUUAGCCCAAGCAAACAAGGCCUCUUAGCGCGCCAGGCUUUGAACUACAUUUCCCAGAAUACCCGCAGGGCUUCCCAUUGGCUCUCGCGCGGACCCGUGCAUGCGCAGACGUACCGACGGGGAGGUCGAGGGAGGGAGAAGGCGGAGUCAUGGCGGCGUUGUCCUGAGACAGGUGGAGGUUGGACGCCGGCGGGCGCUCGGGAAAUGAAAUCCCCGGGCCGUAGCGGCGGGCAGGCGAGGAGGAGGGGUCCGGCCAGAGUUCUGCGCUUCCUUGACAACGGGUCGAGUCUCGUCCCCUACUCUGCCCGCGCGGCGCUGGCAAGGUUGCUGUGUGAUGUGGCCUUUCCCCAAUGCCGCUUGCCCUGGAAUACGGAGGACCUCAGGUGCUGUUCCACGCCUGCAGAGGUUGAGGGCUCUCCCGCCACGUCGGGCAGCCUCCAGCGGGAGGGCAGAGUCCCAGGGCAGGGCCCCUCGUGGUCACUGGGCCUCACCCUUCUCUGGCCCCAGGAAGACACGAGAUCAGAUGUGGGACCAGCAACUCAAAACAUCUGAUGUCCUGUGAUAAUACCGGGAAAAACCGCCCGAGAUAAAUAUGCCAUUACUUAAAACAUGAAUCCUGCAGCAACAAGGAGGGUUUCUCAUAACCUCACACCCCCUUGGAGUUUAUGAUGAGAGUUUAUGGCUCUGGGAACAAUUCACUGCCAGAAGAGGAAAGUGAACAGGUUUAUGGUUUGUUUACACCAACCGAUACCACUUACCUGCUCUCGUUAACUUUCUCUUCAAGCAGGUUUUACUUGAAAUGAAUGAAACCUAGGGGGUCAUAAUAUAUUCUUCUUAUUAAACAAUAAAAUCAUCGCGUAUCUUUAAAAUCAAAUUCAUUGAAAGCUUUUUGGCUUUAUGGAGGUCUUUCUGUUUUUAUUUUGGGUUUUUUCGUGGGUGUGUUUUGUUUUGUUUUUGGUACUUUUUUUCCUCUCUGGGUGUCAAGAGUUUUCGGAAACAAAGUACAGCGCAAAGCCGGGUCCCGCUCAGGGGGUCUGGGGAGAGGCUGGUAGGACAGGGCAGAGCCUGGCGCGGAGGCCUGGGAACUGGGGGAGAUCCCCACUGGCUGUGUGGGCUUGCUUGUGCUAUUCGAAGUCUCCGAGUCUCAGCUUCUUUGGGGCCGAGCUUCUCUCCUGCCCCCUCUUCAAGCACCAUUGUGAGUUUGAAGAUGAACGUCUUUGAACACGUGAAAGUCUCAAGCGGCUCCACGAGCACAGAGCUUCCCCAAAUCAGGUGAAGAAGGAAAUGGCUACCUGCAUGGCCUUGGGGGUCAGACAAAGCUGGAGAUUGUAAGGCUUGGGGCAUGCAGGCUCCCCUCCUCUGUCACCACUUUUCUCCUGCAGGAAAUGCAAGCAAGGAUGGUUUCUAUCCACAGUAGUUGAGAUGCAUUCAGCUACCAGUCCCGGAAACUUGAUUCCAACUUGCUUAAACUCCAGGGAGGUUUUAUCAGCCAGCAGGCAAGUCCUGAGAAAGGGCCCAGCUCCAGGGUCACUUUGAUUCGGUCACUUAAAGAUGUCACGGGACAGCGGGGCGGCGCCUGGGGGGAUCAGUUGGUUAAGCAUCUGCCUUCAUGGCUCCGGUCAUGAUUCCAGGGUCCUUGCUCAGCGGUGAGUCGGCUUCUCCCUCUGCCCCUCCCCCCGAUCAUGCUUGCACAUGUGUAACCUCUCUCUCUCUCUCUGAAAUAAAUAAAUAUAUCUUAAAAAAAAAAAAAAAGUCACCGGGGGCUUGUCUUCUUUCCCACUCUCUGCUCUGCUGCCUGUGAUGUGGACCUGUCCUCAAACUGGGGCCGCGAGCGAACGGUCAAGAAAGAAUUCUUGAGACGUUUUUGGCGCAAAAAGGCGUUUCUAUUACAGCUUGGGGACAGGACCUGUGGGCAGAAAGAGCAGCGUGAUGGCUGCAUGAAGCUGGUGGUUAUGAGCUCAUUGCUCGAGGAGGAGGGGAGAAGCAGGGAGAAUUGAUUAUAGAUGUCUCCUUCAAAUUUCUACUCGUAAAACUACUUUCACAAGAUUCCCCUGGUGCUUAUCAUUCAGUUUGAUAUUAACUAUCGGUGUGAUGUACGGACCAUCAGGAGGUCCUUUAAGAAUGUACCAGCCAGGGGCGCCUGGGUGGCGCAGCGGUUAAGCGUCUGGCUUUGGCUCAGGGCGUGAUCCCGGUGUUCCCGGAUCGAGCUCCACAUCAGGCUCCUCCACUAGGAGCCUGCUUCUUCCUCUCCCACUCCCCCUGCUUGUGUUCCCUCUCUCGCUGGUUGUCUCUCUCUAAUAAAUAAAUAAAUAAAUCUUAAAAAAAAAAAAAAAAAGAAUGUACCAGCCAGCACGUAUUUGAUCCUUAUCGGGACUCUGCAGGCUCUAGGUCAGCCUUCCCGGCUAAAGGUGAACAUUUUUCUGCUUCUAUCUCUCAUCAUCCCUCAUGGUGGCAGAAUGACGAGCCACGAUUCCAAGCAUCACAUCCUGUAUUCCGCCAUCCGGGAAGGGUGCCAGGACAAGCUUAUGGGUCGGAAUCCCAUUGAAAACACUUCUUUAUCGCACUGGCGUGACUGGGGCUCACCCAAAGACAGAGGCCACGGCAUAUGAGUUUGCCUUAGGUCAGGUGUUACGCCCACUGUUUAAAGUCCAGGGGUGGAAUUGUCCUCCUCAGUCCCACACACUCCCGUGCACCUGAGAUGCAAGGAGGAGGUGUGGAAACCUGGGGAAACCCGUGGUGAGGCGGGUGUCUGGUGUCUAAAAGCCCCCACAGCGUCCUCUACGCAGGCUCGCCAGAUUUAGCAAAUAAAAAUAUAAGAUGCACAGUUC
rnacentral:lncRNA from 1 species